rnacentral:rRNA from 1 species
UGGGGAAUUUUGGACAAUGGGGGAAACCCUGAUCCAGCCAUCCCGCGUGUGCGAUGAAGGCCUUCGGGUUGUAAAGCACUUUUGGCAGGAAAGAAACGUCAUGGGUUAAUACCCCGUGAAACUGACGGUACCUGCAGAAUAAGCACCGGCUAACGACGUGCCAGCAGCCGCGGUAAUACGUAGGGUGCAAGCGUUAAUCGGAAUUACUGGGCGUAAAGCGUGCGCAGGCGGUUCGGAAAGAAAGAUGUGAAAUCCCAGAGCUCAACUUUGGAACUGCAUUUUUAACUACCGGGCUAGAGUGUGUCAGAGGGAGGUGGAAUUCCGCGUGUAGCAGUGAAAUGCGUAGAUAUGCGGAGGAACACCGAUGGCGAAGGCAGCCUCCUGGGAUAACGCUGACGCUCAUGCACGAAAGCGUGGGGAGCAAACAGG